UGUCAGUUGAUUGAAUACUCAAUUUCGACAUCGCCUUCGAGAACGUGAUCUAUUGGAACAUGGACAUGAUGUAUAACAAUCAUAUCAAUACUUGCAAAGUGUUAUAUCUAUUCUACUAGCAAUAGGGUAGAGAAAGGAACGAUCAUACCCGGUUUGUCUUGAUGUCAUCCUCCAUUGUUGACAUCUCAAGUUGCUAGUUAUCGAAUAAUGUACUUCAAGCAAGCAUAUUAG
rnacentral:lncRNA from 1 species